CAAUGGUCUUUUGACUAGAUCGGGGUGGCUAACCUGAGCCUGAAAAGGAGCCAAAAUUUACCAAUGUACAUUGCCAAAGAGCCAUAGUAAUAUAUCAAUAGCCCC